rnacentral:rRNA from 1 species
AGUGAACGCUGGCGGUAGGCCUAACACAUGCAAGUCGAACGGCAGCACAGUAAGAGCUUGCUCUUACGGGUGGCGAGUGGCGGACGGGUGAGGAAUACAUCGGAAUCUACUUUUUCGUGGGGGAUAACGUAGGGAAACUUACGCUAAUACCGCAUACGACCUACGGGUGAAAGCAGGGGAUCUUCGGACCUUGCGCGACUGAAUGAGCCGAUGUCGGAUUAGCUAGUUGGCGGGGUAAAGGCCCACCAAGGCGACGAUCCGUAGCUGGUCUGAGAGGAUGAUCAGCCACACUGGAACUGAGACACGGUCCAGACUCCUACGGGAGGCAGCAGUGGGGAAUAUUGGACAAUGGGCGCAAGCCUGAUCCAGCCAUUCCGCGUGGGUGAAGAAGGCCUUCGGGUUGUAAAGCCCUUUUGUUGGGAAAGAAAAGCAGCAGGUUAAUACCCCGCUGUUCUGACGGUACCCAAAGAAUAAGCACCGGCUAACUUCGUG